AAAUCCGGCUCACCGUUAACACUGAGAGAUGAUGACGAGGCACUAAGGUGCUGAAGUAACUGAUACCACACUUCCAGGAAAAGCCACUAAGCUUCAGGCUUUACUAAACCGUACUGAAAACCGACACAGGUGGUCAGGUAGAGAAUACUCAGGCGCUUGAGAGAACUCGGGUGAAGGAACUAGGCAAAAUAGCACCGUAACUUCGGGAGAAGGUGCGCCGGCGUAGAUUGUAGUGACUUGCUCACGAAGGUUGAACCGGUCGAAGAUACCAGCUGGCUGCAACUGUUUAUUAAAAACACAGCACUCUGCAAACACGAAAGUGGACGUAUAGGGUGUGAUGCCUGCCCGGUGCUGGAAGGUUAAUUGAUGGUGUAAUCGAAAGAGAAGCUCCUGAUCGAAGCCCCAGUAAACGGCGGCCGUAACUAUAACGGUCCUAAGGUAGCGAAAUUCCUUGUCGGGUAAGUUCCGACCUGCACGAAUGGCAUAAUGAUGGCCAGGCUGUCUCCACCCGAGACUCAGUGAAAUUGAAAUCGCCGUGAAGAUGCGGUGUACCCGCGGCUAGACGGAAAGACCCCGUGAACCUUUACUAUAGCUUGACACUGAACCUUGAAUUUUGAUGUGUAGGAUAGGUGGGAGACUAUGAAGCGGUAACGCCAGUUAUCGUGGAGUCGUUGUUGAAAUACCACCCUUUAACGUUUGAUGUUCUAACGAAGUGCCUGAAACGGGUACUCGGACAGUGUCUGGUGGGUAGUUUGACUGGGGCGGUCUCCUCCCAAAGUGUAACGGAGGAGCACGAAGGUUUGCUAAUGACGGUCGGACAUCGUCAGGUUAGUGCAAUGGUAUAAGCAAGCUUAACUGCGAGACAGACAAGUCGAGCAGGUGCGAAAGCAGGUCAUAGUGAUCCGGUGGUUCUGAAUGGAAGGGCCAUCGCUCAACGGAUAAAAGGUACUCCGGGGAUAACAGGCUGAUACCGCCCAAGAGUUCAUAUCGACGGCGGUGUUUGGCACCUCGAUGUCGGCUCAUCACAUCCUGGGGCUGAAGUAGGUCCCAAGGGUAUGGCUGUUCGCCAUUUAAAGUGGUACGCGAGCUGGGUUUAGAACGUCGUGAGACAGUUCGGUCCCUAUCUGCCGUGGGCGUUGGAGAAUUGAGAGGGGCUGCUCCUAGUACGAGAGGACCGGAGUGGACGCAUCACUGGUGUACCAGUUGUCUCGCCAGAGGCAUUGCUGGGUAGCUAAAUGCGGAAGAGAUAAGUGCUGAAAGCAUCUAAGCACGAAACUUGCCUUGAGAUGAGUUCUCCCAGUCUAUAAGACUGUAAGGGUUGUUGGAGACUACGACGUAGAUAGGCUGGGUGUGUAAGCGGUGUGAGCCGUUGAGCUAACCAGUACUAAUUGC
rnacentral:rRNA from 1 species